rnacentral:tRNA from 1 species
GUCUUUGUGGUGUAAUGGUAGCACACUCGGCGCGUAUUCGAGAGGUCCAGGUUCGAGUCCUGGCGAGGGCA